AGCAGAGACGAGCUUGAGGCCAGGGCUGGGUGCCCAGCAGCUUCCUGGUCCAGACAGGCCCUAGGACUUCAGGGGGCCGAGCUCUGCCUUGGGGCUGGAGAGCUGUGCUGGGCACCUAGCCCUGGCCUGGUGAAAGGCCAGGUGGCUGGCGGGACAGUGGAUGGAUAAGAUAAGAAUUGUUCAUGAACCGAACUGAUAACUGUACAGAAUGCAGGAGUAAUGGAAGCUUUUCUACGUGUGACAGAAAACUGUGAAACUGUAAGAAAGAAGAUUAACAGACUUGACCCCUGGAAAAGGAAAGACUUCUAUAUGGAGAAACAGAUGAUAAACAAAUGAUAAGACAGAUCAAAAUACUUGCACUGAACUGAACUGCCCACAAUGGACGUAUGGACGGGCCCCACACCACAAUAUGGGGCAAUGUGGCGGAAUGGUGUUCCAGGCACUACCGACUACUACAGGUCGGCCACCCUUAUGCUUGGUCUUCACAAAAAUAGUCCUUCGGGAUAGGUAUUACUCUCCAGCUAGAUGAAGACUGAUAUCUGGAGUGAUUCAC
rnacentral:lncRNA from 1 species